ACUGGCAAAUGUGAGGGUUCCUUGUAUCGCAGUCCAACCCCAGCUCAUUUCUUAGUUAGGUUUGUUUUUAGGAUGGUCGAGCUCAAAGCAGAACUAAGGGAUCUGCCGUUUUGUACACGGCCGAGGCGCGCGGCUCCCUGGGCCUGGAACGGGCUCUGAGCGCGCCGGUCCCUUCCAGGUUGCGCGGGCUCCGGACGAGACCCAGCCCAGCAGGGCAGCCCCGCGCGCUCCCGGGUCCCGCCGGCCUCGCGCCGCCCGGUUGCCGUGGGAACCACGGAGCCUCGGAGCGCCCGCAGACUAGCCUGUGUCUGAGGGGGUGAGGGAUACUGAGGCCCAGGCAUGGAGCUGCCGGAUCCGGUGCGCCAGCGGCUGGGAAACUUCAGCCGGGCCGUGUUCAGUGAUUCCAAUCGGACCGGUCCAGAGUCCAAUGAGGGUCCGGAAAAUGAAAUGGUCUCCAGUUUGGCACUGCAGAUGUCACUUUAUUUUAAUACCUACUAUUUCCCACUGUGGUGGGUGAGCAGCAUUAUGAUGCUUCACAUGAAGUAUUCAAUCUUGCCUGACUACUACAAAUUCAUUGUGAUCACUGUUAUCAUCCUAAUAACCUUAAUUGAAGCCAUCCGGUUGUAUCUGGGCUACGUGGGUAACCUACAGGAGAAGGUAAGCUCUUUUUUCCUUUCUCUCAGUGAUAGAUAUAAAUGAAAUCAGUUUUCAUAACAAGUAAAAGGCAGUGAGGUGUGGCAGAAAGAGCACAGGUCUGAAUUUAAAGCCUGACUCCAGCUUUACCACUUCUGUCACUGUGGUCUGUUUGCUUAAUCUCUUGAGCCCUGGUUUCCUCAUAUAUAAAAUGAGGAAAAUAAUAUUUACUUCACAGGUUUGUUGUGAUUAAGUGAAAUGAUUUAUGUAAAGUAUAUGAAUGUAGUAAACACUUAAAAUUGAUAUUUUCCCUCUUCUUAUCAGUCUUAAAAAUACAUGGUUACUUAAACAUGUGUAUUUGGAUCCUGAAUAAGAAAAUGGGGGAAAAUUAUGAAUUCAUUUCCUAUGCCAGGCCCAUGUUUUCUGCAUCAUCAUGCUGCCUAAGCAUUUGUGGUUACCAGAGUAUAGGGAUAAUGCCUAAAGAUUCCUGUGGUUUUCUAGGCCCUUCAUAAUAAGGCCCCACACCCAGCCUGUCUUACUGUAGGUUUUGCUGUUUUCUCACUCAGCCAUCCAUUCCAGGCUGAUGUGCUGAUUCCCAAUCAUGCUAAUUUCACGUGUUUGCUUACUUACCUUUUUGCCUCUUCCUUCUUCUCCACAACUUAAAAAGCCUACCUCCCUGAGGUCUUUCUUUCACCUACCCUAAUCACUCCCUUAUUUCUUGUAGCAUUUAGUCUGUACUUCUAAAUAUUGCACUUAAUUGUUCACUAAAGUGUAGUAUUCUAGGAUUGUUUUACAUAAAUUAGUUUUCUCAUCUAGACUGUAAGUUCUCUGAGGACAAGGACCAUGUCAUCCUCCUUCGGAAUCACUCACAGAGCCCAUAAUGUAGGUUCACGGUAGUGAUAAGUACUUGUUUAUCUGUAUAAACAGAAACUGUAUUUUACUGAUUUUUAUUACUCUUGAUAUGUGUCAUUGCAGGUUCCUGAGUUGGCUGGCUUUUGGCUUUUGAGCCUUCUAUUGCAGUUACCUUUAAUUCUUUUCUUGCUCUUUAAUGAAGGCCUAACAAAUCUGCCCUUGGAAAAAGCGAUACAUAUCAUCUUCACUCUCUUCCUUGCUUUCCAAGUUGUUGCAGCAUUUCUUACCUUAAGGAAAAUGGUUAAUCAGUUGGCAGUUCGUUUCCACCUCCAAGACUUUGACCGGCUCUCUGCAAAGAGAGGAGACAUGAGAAGGAUGAGGUCAUGUAUAGAAGAGAUCUGAUCCAGUGUUGUUGAGUGAAAAUCUGACAGAUCAUUCUAGAGACUGUAAGAGUUAGGAAAAUAUCAGAGCUCUGAGAAAAGGGACAAAGCAAGUGUUUUGAAUUGUAUAUGCUCUCACUCUGAAAUUCCAAGGUUGGGGGCAAUGAUGAAACUUUGUACAGUAUAUGAAACAGUAUAUUAACCCUAAAACCUAGAUGUUGUCCACCUGAUGCCAAAUUUCUUAAUUUUUUUUGAUGUUGUUGUCUUUUUCAGGAGUGUAGAAAUCUAUGUAUUGGUGGUUGUCAUUUGCCAGCUCUCUUGUAGCAUUUCUGGUUAGAAUCUGUAACUAGAGAUGUAUACAUUUCUUUAAAACUUGUUGGUUAUCCAUGUCUUGUCUGUACAUAUGACCAUGUUUCUUGACAUGGAAAUACCAGUCAGUGUUCCUAUGUAUUUGUCUAUAUUUAUAAACCAAGAGACCGGCUGGGUGUGGUGGCUCACGCCUGUAAUCCCAGCACUUUGGGAGGCCGAGGUGGGCAGAUCAUGAGGUCAGAAGAUCGAGACCAUCCUGGCUAACAUGGUGAAACCCAGCCUCUACU
rnacentral:sRNA from 1 species